GCGCUAGAACGCGCGGGAACUCUAGAGCGCAAAUACUGUAGUUGAGAGUGCGUGCACGUUCUUGGAGGUAGCUUUUGCGUUCCAGUCAGACUAUUAAUUGUACAGAUGUUUACCGAAUACGCACUUUGGUCAGACGCUGCUGUUUGAUGUGGCAGUGGUGUCAAAACAAAACCCUGUCCUUACAGAGCUUUUCUGGGUGGGGAGAAGUCCAGUAAACGGAAACAUUCAGAGAAAAUUACAUUUCUUUGGGGAUCAUCAGAAUUGCAAUUUGGGAAAACACAGCUUCAAGCCAUCUUACAAAUGGAAUCAUCUUACAACAGGAAUCAUCCUGUUGUCAUUUUGAAACUCUUGUGGUCACUAAUUUAAACCCACAGGCACGGUGGAAUUACAGGAAAUGAGAAAAGCG